AAACCAGUGUCAUCGGCAACAUAAUUUACAGUAUAUGCAACAUUAGUUUGUGGAUCAACAAAAGAGAAGGUACCUCGAACUCGUAAGAAUUGACCAUCAGUUCCUCCUUCGACUACUUCUGCAGAUUCCUGUUUAACUUGACCGUCGGAAAGUUGGAAACCGUAGUUAUAACCACCAAGUCCAACAUUGUCAGAGGGAGUUUCUUUAACGAGGACUAUUUCUUGAGGCGCAGCGGAAACAACAACAACCAGAGCAAAAAUAAUAGCAAUCUAAAAGGAGACAGGCUUCCAAAAUUCUUCAGUAAAGAUGUCGAAAUCAUCGAGUGGCAUUGGCCGGUUGGCGGUGGUAGAACGAUGACCGACAAAGGAAGAGGCGGUGAAUGUCAGGCAAGAAUUCAAGGAAGAGCGGCCCAGGAGCGAAAAUCGCACGUGAUUUCACUGUGCUUGUAAUCUCAUACGGAUCCCUGUCUUACCAAACUUGGAUGGAACAAUGAACAGAAUCGUCGUCAGAAAAUCCUUGCAGAAGAUAUAUAGGAUUUGCUAUCGCAGUUUAAGGGAAGUUAAAUAAAGAUGAUUAUUCAAAAGGGAAUAUGAAUUUAUGAAUGCAACCAAUGAUUAUUCCGAGUAAAAUGUCGAAAAAUAAAUUAAACUGCGAUAAGAUAGGUGUUUCUAAAAAA